GCGCAGGACGGGGAUCCGAGACGCGCUCCCGCCGCCCCAGCUGCGCCGCGCUCCCGGCCACAAGUUUGCCCCGCGUUGGCCAAGUUGCGAGUGGGGAGCCUCUCCGGGGUCCGGGGUGAGCGUCCGUCUUCUCGCUCGGGCUGGUCCGGGCAUGGCCGGGCCGGGAGCGUCGCCCCACGUCUAGGGGUGGCUGCUGCUCGGAGGUUGCCUUCUCGUCGGAGCCCAGGUCAUUUUAUUUUCAAAACAACACAUUGACUGAGAUGCUGAGCACAAUAUUUAUUGUGAAUGUCCACCAGUACUCACCAUCCCUGAGCCUCCUUCCUCAUAUCCAAUGGAAACCUUGAAAGAAUGGUGUCUAAAGAAAUGAGACAACAGGUGCAAAAGCCAAAGCACGUCCAGUAUCUGUGCUCAAUGGGCAGCUGCUUCAUUUAGAGAGAGAGCCUUUCUCGUUAUACAUACUCAUCUAGGUACUUAAAAAGAAAAGGUAAAAGAUGAAUAAGACAUGUCCCCAGCUUUGGAAGAACCCACAAUCUAGCAGAUGGGACACAAAACCAAUCAGAGCAUUAGAGUAAAGCAGAUAAGUGCCAGGAGAGGGUGUAUAUACAAAGUGCUGUGGGGAUGUGGGAGAGAAGAUUGCUUUAGCUUCAGGCAAAGUCAGAGAGGUUUUAAAGGAAUGAUGUUUCACAAAUCAAUCAAUGUGAUACAUCACAUUAAUAAAAGAAAAGAUAAGAACCAUAUGAUCCUGUCAAUCGAUGCAGAAAAAGCAUUUGACAAAAUUCAGCAUCCUUUCUUAAUAAAAACCCUCGAAAAAGUCGGGAUAGAAGGAACAUACUUAAACACCAUAAAAGCCAUUUAUGAAAAGCCCACAGGUAAUAUCAUCCUCAGUGGGGAAAAAACUGAGAGCUUUCCCCCUGAGAUCAGGAACACAACAGAGAUGUCCACUCUCACCGCUGUUGUUUAACAUAGUGUUGGAAGUUCUAGCAUCAGCAAUCAGACAACAAAAGGAAAUCAAAGGCAUCAAAAUUGGCAAUGAUGAAGUCAAGCUUUCACUUUUUGCAGAUGACAUGAUAUUAUACAUGGAAAACCCAAUAGACUCCACCAAAAGUCUGCUAGAACUGAUACAUGAAUUCAGCAAAGUCGCAGGAUACAAAAUCAAUGUACAGA